GAUCCUGGCUCAGGAUGAACGCUAGCUACAGGCUUAACACAUGCAAGUCGAGGGGAAACGACAUUGAAGCUUGCUUCGAUGGUCGUCGACCGGCGCACGGGUGAGUAACGCGUAUCCAACCUGCCUCUGACCAAGGGAUAACCCGUCGAAAGUCGGACUAAUACCUUAUGCAGUCGUCGGAAGUCAUCUGAUGACGACGAAAGAUUUCAUCGGUGAGAGAUGGGGAUGCGU
rnacentral:rRNA from 1 species